AGCGAACGCUGGCGGCAGGCUUAACACAUGCAAGUCGAGCGGUCCCUUCGGUUUCAGCGGCAGACGGGUGAGUAACACGUGGGAACGUACCCUUUGGUUCGGUAUCCCGCUGGGUAACUAUCGCUAAUACCGUAUACGCCCUUUUGGUGCAAGGCUUGCUGCCGAAGUCUCGGGCUGCGUCUGAUUAGCUUGUUGGUGGGGUAAUGGCCUACCAAGGCGACGAUCAGUAGCUGGUCUGAGAGGAUGAUCAGCCAAACUGGGACUGAGACACGGCCCAGACUACUACGGGAGGAAGCAGUGGGGAAUAUUGGACAAUGGGCGCAAGACUGAUCCAGCCAUGCCGGGUGAGAGAUGAAGGCCUUAGGGUAGUAAAGCUGUUUUGUCCGGGACGAUAAUGACGGUACCGGAAGAAUAAGCCCCGGCUAACUUCGUG
rnacentral:rRNA from 1 species